UUUCCCUGCUGUUGAGUCUGUAGUGUUGGGGAGUGAGGCCUGAUAAGGCCUUGCCGACCUUGGGAGACGGAGGUUGCCAGCGAUCGUUCCAGAGCGACUUUCUGUUGUCCCAAGGAGAGUAAAAAGGCUACAAAGCCCUUUGCACAGACCAAGGAAGAUCUCCAGAGCCCAGGAUCAUCAGUGGAAGCUAAAGCAGAUGUUCAGAAACAUGCCAUUUCAAGGGUAGGGGCCACACACACUUCAGUUUGUUGUCUUCUUUUGCAAUGCUGUUUUGUAAACCAAACUUGGGCAACAGUGUGACAACGGGAAUUCU